UUUUAGUGUUAUCCUCUUCUUUCAUAUAUUCCAAAGCUGGUUCUACCUUCUUUGGUAUUACUUCAUGCAGGAUCUUCAUUCGAGAUGUACUCCUUUCAACAAUAAAAGAAGAUAACAAAAGCCUCCCAUAUCUACUUUCCUCUCCCUGCAUAUUUAAUGGCUCUAUAUCAUAUGUGGCUAGAUUUGACGUCACUUUUCUUGAACCUGCAAACAUCUGAAACUGGGGUUCUUCAACUACUUGCAAAGGUUCAUGGUAUAUCCUCUUUCCCAAUUUGGACAUCACCCUUUUCCUUUAUGUGUCUAUCUUCCCCACUAUUAAUAUUGGGAUCCUCUUGAUCUAUAUCAUUCAAAACAUCACAAAAAUUACCAGUCUCUACCUCAUGUUUCUGCGACAUAUUCGUGGAAGUAUUAACAUCACUAUUAAUGGGUUCAAACUCUUUUGACAACUUUUUUGUGGGAUCCCAUGCAAACCACCCACCAUUUCUUCCUCUGAAGGCAUGUGGAGGGAUAUCUUUUCUCACCUGUUGCUUCUGCUCCUCUUCUAAAGUUUCGAAUUGUCUUCUCAAUUCAGGAGGAAGAGCUCUACAUUCAUCCUCUUCAUGACCUUGCAGUUUGCAAGUCUUACAGUAUUUGGGCAAUUUGGCAAGCAAAUCAACCAGCACCUUCACCUUCGCACAGCUUGGCCUAGUCUUAUUAAUGAUGGCCAUAUCCAACUGCAAUGGUUUUUCCACCGCUGCUGCCAAUGAAAAUAAUGAUUCAUUUACAAAGAAUGUUGGUAACAGGUCUGGAACCGAAACCCAAGCUAACGUUUGAGCUUGAAACUUGCAUAAUAGAUGAGUGGACUCAUUUGAUAGGAGUAUCCCUCCUUGUCCAAUAUGUAAUACACCAUUUUAGACAUGAUGUUAACAAAAUCAUCCAUAUGACUCAAUCUAAUCAACACAUGCCUGUUGUGUAGCAAUUCAAUUUUACAUUCACCCUUAAUGUUAUAUUGUUUGGGAAUUUGUGAACGUAAUUCCUCUAAUAAAGUUCAUCCAUAUGAGAAUUUUCCAAUAAAAGCGUAUUGAAGAUUCUCUAUAAUAUUCAUUUUAUUUACU